CAGCCGCCGCGGUAAUACGUAGGGUGCAAGCGUUAAUCGGAACUACUGGGCGUAAAGCGUGCGCAGGCGGUUUGUUAGGACAGAUGUGAAAUCCCCGGGCUCAACCUGGGAACUGCAUUUGUGACUGGCAAGCUAGAGUGUGGCAGAGGGGGAUGGAAUUCCGCGUGUAGCAGUGAAAUGCGUAGAUAUGCGGAGGAACACCGACGGCGAAGGCAGCCCCCUGGGCCAACACUGACGCUCAUGCACGAAAGCGUGGGGAGCAAACAGGAUUAGAUACCCCAGUAGUCCCUGUCUCUUAUAA
rnacentral:rRNA from 1 species